AUUAAGGAGUUAAAUGGAAAUAUGAUUUUCUUCUGGUCCAAAUUAAACAUAUUUAAUUUUUUAUAGAAUAUUGACAAAGCAAUCUUUAUUGCAAAGUGCGAAACAAUGAACUGUCAUAAUAAGGCACAAGCAGUUGUGAUGCCCAAGAGCGCAGGUACACUGGGCUGAAGGCGACUGUGAUUCGUGGACAUUCAGCUAAAUCACCUCUAACUUUGUUAGCAUAACCGUUUAUGUAUUUGUAGCAACCAUUCUUCCGCGCACAACAAGGAUGCCGAAUGUAGUGACGGAGGCGAUUAUUGAGUCUUAUGCGCUCAUGUUUUUGGUGAUGUCAGCGUUUUUUGUGUACUUUUGUGGCAUGGUCUGGGCAUUCUGCAACCCCAAACUCAGUGGCUUCGCUGAAGAAACAGAGUGCGACACGAGCAGUUUUUCACAAGUCCCUCUGCAACAAAUAUUUGCAGAUCCUGAGGAUGUGGAAACAACUCAUCCAACACACGGCAUUUGACCAGCUCCCAAUGUCUGGAUCACUCGAGUUACAUCGCUUCGUGCUAUAUUGUGGAUUAAUAUUUUGAAGUUUAAAGAAAACAGCACAAAAUUUGCUCCAGUCUCAUAAGUUUUAUUCAUAGUAAUUUACCGGAACAUCUGCACGCGUACUGAAACCAGAGAACACUCAAGAGAGAAAGGGAAGUGCUUCUCUGAUCUUCGUCACCAUGGCAACCCAUCAAUAUCUGCAACCCCCACACAUUGCUAACUCUCAUCUGGAGAAUUACAAUCAUUAGUUUCUGAUAUGUAUGUUUAUUUAAUGUUGUGUAGUUGAAUAAAUUGUUACAACUGCA